CCUACGGGGGGCAGCAGUAGGGAAUCUUCCACAAUGGACGAAAGUCUGAUGGAGCAACGCCGCGUGAGUGAAGAAGGGUUUCGGCUCGUAAAGCUCUGUUGGUAGUGAAGAAAGAUAGAGGUAGUAACUGGCCUUUUUUUGACGGUAAUUACUUAGAAAGUCACGGCUAACUACGUGCCAGCAGCCGCGGUAAUACGUAGGUGGCAAGCGUUGUCCGGAUUUAUUGGGCGUAAAGCGAGUGCAGGCGGUUUUUUAAGUCUGAUGUGAAAGCCUUCGGCUUAACCGGAGUAGUGCGUUGGAAACUG
rnacentral:rRNA from 1 species